UGCGAGUCGGGCCUGGGGCUGCCAGGUGGGAAUUCUCCGCAUCCUGCCCUCUCUCCACAGCAGGGACAGGUGGUAUUCACACAGGUCGAUCAGCGAGGCCACCUGCUCAUGGAGUGGCAGCGUCUUGAACUUCCUCUGAGCCAGCCUCUCUCUUCUUCCCUGCUGACCUGUGAGCUCCAGCUCACCUCUGUUCCCCAAGGACCAGACGCCCAGUGCUCAAUAUAGAAUGCUUCAUGAAUACGUUCUGGAGUGGGGCCCGAGACACCGUAUUCCCGACCCAGCUUCCUGGUGGUGGUGGCCAUGUGGCUGCUUUCUGGAGCACAGUGCAAUGGAAAAUUCUAGAAGGUGGAACGAGGCGAUACAGGGGCAGCCGCUUUUCAUUGUGAACCCUCUGCCACUAUUUGAAUUUGAAGUUAUGCGCAUGUAUUACUUUGAAGAAAAUGCCAACUUCCUGAAUACACAUUCUACUUUGAUAAAGUUUAUAUACAUGCAAGGGAAAUAACAGCAGAAGGGAAGAGAAAGGGACCUUACUGACUCGACCAGACGUGCUAUGCCGGGCGCUGGCUCUGACCCCACUACAACUCUCAACUGUGCCCCUGAGAAAAUGGAGAUGGGAGAGACCAAAUAACUUGAGCUCGGGUCAC